CCUACGGGAGGCAGCAGUGGGGAAUAUUGCACAAUGGGCGAAAGCCUGAUGCAGCAACGCCGCGUGAAGGAAGAAGGUCUUCGGAUCGUAAACUUCUGUCCUUGGGGAAGAUAAUGACGGUACCCUUGGAGGAAGCCCCGGCUAACUACGUGCCAGCAGCCGCGGUAAUACGUAGGGGGCAAGCGUUAUCCGGAAUUAUUGGGCGUAAAGAGUGCGUAGGUGGUUACUUAAGCGCGGGGUUUAAGGCAAUGGCUCAACCAUUGUUCGCCCUGCGAACUGGGUUACUUGAGUGCAGGAGAGGAAAG
rnacentral:rRNA from 1 species